rnacentral:rRNA from 1 species
UACGGAGGGAUGCAAGCGUUAUCCGGAAUGAUUGGGCGUAAAGCGUCCGCAGGUGGCUAUGUAAGUCUGCUGUUAAAGAGUGAGGCCUCAACCUCAUAAGAGCAGUGGAAACUACAUGGCUAGAGUGCGUUCGGGGCAGAGGGAAGUUACCUGGUGUAGCGGUGAAAUGCGUAGAUAUCAGGAAGAACACCGGUGGCGAAAGCGCUCUGCUAGGCCGCAACUGACACUGAGGGACGAAAGCUAGGGGAGCGAAUGGG